rnacentral:rRNA from 1 species
UGCCAGCAGCCGCGGUAAUACGGAGGGGGCUAGCGUUGUUCGGAAUGACUGGGCGUAAAGAGCAUGUAGGUGGUUUAUUAAGUUAGGCGUGAAAGCCCUGGGCUUAACCCAGGAAUAGCGCUUAAAACUAAUUAACUUGAGUCCGGUAGGGGAAAGUGGAAUUCCUAGUGUAGAGGUGAAAUUCGUAGAUAUUAGGAGGAACACCAGAGGCGAAGGCGGCUUUCUGGACCGGUACUGACACUGAGAUGCGAAAGCGUGGGGAGCAAACAGGAUUAGAUA